rnacentral:lncRNA from 1 species
UUAGGAGAUGCAAACUCUGCAUUUGGAGUGGAUAAGCAGUGAGAUGCUGCUGUAUACCGAGGACAUUUUAAUUGAGUCAAAUGGAACAUGCUUUUAAUCAGGUUUCAGUAUUAUAGUUUCUGGAAAGUGCCUUGAGACCUCUCAAUAAUCUUACCAAAUCAGCAUUUCAAUUUUGGUGCCUGUGAGUGUGAAGAGAGUCACUGGUAAACUAACUGGCUUCCCUGUGGAGCAUCGCUGCAGCCUCUGGAGGGAAACAGUCCUAACUUAGACUGAAGGAUGAGAUCACAGUAGAAAGCAGGGUGAGCAGGAGGGGUUGUUGGCCAGAUAGAUGGUUCGGAGAUCUAGAUCACCUUAAGAACUCGUUUAUUCCAAUGUUCCUUUGGAGUCUGUAGCGAACACUUGCCGAUCGCGUCCCCUAAAUCCCUUUCGCCCUUUCUCCAUCCCAGCAGUGCCUUAAUUUCUGGUAAGACAUCUGUGUGGCUCUUGGGGAUGACAGCUGCGUCCACCCUUAAGGUCUGGCUCCUCAGCAAGUUCCACCCCUUGGCCGGCAUGAUUACUUGGGAUGGGGCCUGCUGACCUAAGAGGUGCAGUCUGAGUAAGCUCUGGUUGGUGUCGUGUCAGGUGUGAUUUGGUUACAGGAAGUGACUGUCAAUCCUGUGCUCUGACCCUGGGCUUCUAAAGGGGUUCGCACCCUUGUAGACAUGCACUUGGAGUGAAGAGGGUUCGGAAGGAGCCAGUGCCUCCCUGUCGGGGCUGCUCUGAAGACUGAAUGGGAGCUCAUAAGGUACUUUGUGGAAAGUCUGGCAUAAAAUAGAAAUUCAUGUUUUAAGGACGUUUUGAAUUAGCAAUGACAGAAACUACCUCAGACAAAAGUGCAGAGCUAGAAGGGUAUUGGAUACGUACUAAGGAAACUCAGAAAAUGGAAAGAAAUAUUCUGGAUACCCGGGUAACUUCAGGGGCUUUGGGCACCACAAUCAUAUUUCAGGGCCCCCAGGGCUCUCCUUGUGUCUCAUCUCGGCUCGUCUGUGGUUGGAUUUCUUUUUUCCAGGUAAUAGGAAAGAAGAUCACCCACAGCCUCCAGCCCUCCUGUCUCUGUGACCCGAAAGGCAAGGUCCCUACUCCAAACUGAAAAAUCUUGGGGAAGGAGGCUAACAGCUUGGGUCAGAGUCCCACCCCUGGACUGUGAGCUGUGGCCAGGGAUUGGAAAACUUAGUCGGUCAGACCGGGGCUGCGCCAGCUCUACCUGACCCUCCCCAGUCGACGGGGUGGGGGGUGCGUGGCAGCCCCGCCCAGAAUCAUGUUCUCGUUGAAGAACAGUUUUCCUCAAAUGACGCUGAAUAGUAAAACAGGUGUCCAUAAUUAUUUGGUAUUUUGCACUCCUUCCUAAACAGAUUUAUUCUUCUACUCUCUCUAACUGGGAUGGGAAGCAGGAAAUGAGAAAGUAUGGGGGAAGAUGACGCGAAUUUUAUUGUUUGCUUACUAUGUAGUAAGUAACUUGUGCGUGGAUUAGCCUAUUACAUUGAAUCGUUACUACAAUAUGGCAAAGUAGAUAAUAUUGCCAUUUCAGCCAAAAACAAGCUUAGGCUAAGAAAUUAGCCCCGGACCACCACACAUCCCGGUGAUGGGUCCUCUUGUCUCCAAAGUGUACCAUGCUCCUCAGAAUGAAGUCAGCUUCCCUUUCCUGGUCACCAUGCCACUCUCCCUUCCUCCACUGGUCUCUCCCACCGUCUCUCCUGUCAGGAGCCUCGCUUAGACUUGGAACCUAGGUUCUUCCAGACCUAGGUGGGAUUCUUGCCUCAUCCCAUCAUAGACAAAGGAUGUAUUCUCCCCUAAUAGCGAUGCUUGGGUGUUGACCAAAAACUAGAGAACACAUUUCUGAACACAGCCUUUUACUUAAGUAGUGAAAAAAGUAGUAGCAAGCACUGGAUGGCCUGUAUUUGAAUCCCACUACCUACCAACUAGGCAACACAUUCUGUGCUUCGACUUAUAUAAAGUGACGCUAAUGAUGGAACCUAGCUCAUUUGUUUCAAGGAUGAAAUGAGUUAACAUACAAAGCACUUAGAACAGAGUACACAGCAACUAUUCUAUCAGUGUUAGCACUCACUGUUUAAAAUGUGUUGCUCAUUAUUAGUGGAUUCUUCUGGCUAAUGCCAAAACAGGCAGACUUUUCACUUAAGGAAUCUUCAUUUUGCUACUUGAGUUCACAUCUGGAUUAUAUGCCUUUCGCUCUCAAAGAAGCAAACCCAUCUUAGUAUAAUCUAAGGCAGAAAUAAACUACCUAGGCUCCAGGGAGCACAAUUCUAAGAGGGAAACAGUUUCCCUGACUGUCUGGUCCUGUUCACACACCCGCUGUUAACGUUCCCCCGUAGGUCCCUUUAUCAUACCUACAUACUGAUCUUGUAAACACACGAGUUUAAGUGAGCUCCUUCUGUCAGAUCUGUCGGACUAUGGAAACACGAGAGUCUGGAGCGCCCCAGAGUUACUUCCUGCAGGUGCUGAAGGUGAUGUGGCAGAAGAGAGGUACAGAAGUGGGAGGGUCUGAGCGUGUGUGGUCGGAGAGCCUGUGUAUGUGGCUUCUGAAUGGAAUACACUUUCCUGAGUGAAGAGCUGGGAAAACAUGGCAGUGUUUCAGGGUUGCACAGCCCCCAGAGAGAAUCUAAAGAGCGCUGUGGGUGAUGCAUUAAUGCCUGAGUCAAAGAGGGAGUGGGAAGGCCAUGGCACUCACUGGCUGUGUAAGCUUCACAGGUUUGGGGGUGGCCCCAUCUGCCCCCCUCUCUAGCUCAGAUUAGCACCCAAUUCUAGGAUUGGAUCUGAAACUCAUUGGUAAUGCCUAAAUCUGAAGAUUUGGCUUCUACAGCAGUGGCCGCAUUUGAAACAAUACACCAUAUGUCGUUAAGCUGUUUAGUGGGUACUGGUCUGCUUAUGCAUCUCUCUGUAAUUUUACCAUAUAUUUGCUGUAUAGCAGUUAAAUGCUUUUCCGUAUGAAACGUUUUGCAACAAAAACAUCCCCCAUGUCUGUGAGACUAGAAAGACAUUUUAUGCAGAAGCAGAGCCUUGAAUUUCUCAAACUGUAUCUGGAUCAAAAGACAAAAGUCAGACUACUCCAAAAUCAAAAUGAAUACCUGUAGCCUUUGAUUUCAAAAGGUCAGUAUGAUGGAUGAGAAUAUUUCUGUAAUAGUAUUUUGAUUCAGAUGCUUGACUAUUGGAAAACUUGUGGUUUGUGGUCUUCCCUUUGUUACCCAUGUCCCUGGGGGGGGAAACCGAAUUUUCAUUAGAUGUUGCAAUUAAAACAACCUCUGAAUAGAUUUGAUCUGUUCUUGACUGAAGGUCCAGCUUAGCAACUGCAUUCUGGGGUUUGCUCCCUUCCCCCACCCUCUGCCUGUUGUAUGCACAGAAUCAAUAAAACGUUCUUUCUUAGUUCUUAGCUCCCCGAUGUGUCUGCCCACCCACUCCGAGGGAGUAAUGGGUCGCACCUUCGUACUUGUGUAGAACUGUGUAUCCUCGCCUUAUGGCACCUCCCACACUGUAUUACUGCUGCAUGUGAUCUCCGACUCCAUCAGAAGAUUCAAACCUGGAAGAUAGGGAUAUUCUUAUUCUUCUUGGUGUUUUUAGCUUUCAGCAUAAUGCCUGGCAGAUAAGAGGCAUUCAACAAAUAUUUGAAUGAUCAUCAUUUUAUACAUUAAGAAAUGGGGGAUUGGUGAGGUAUAAUGACUUGACUAACAUAUCGGGUCAGUGGCAGACCCGGGACUAGAACCUAGGGCUUCAUGUCUCUCCCCCGGCUCCCUAGGUCUUUCAUUAUCAUAGGUGUUGACAUGGACCGUAAGGUCCUACACAGACAUCAUUUUAUAACGAGUUCAGGAGUUCCCUUGUGGUGUAGAGGAAAUGAAUUCGACUAGGAACCAUGAGGUUGUGGGUUCGAUCCCUGGCGUCGUUCAGUGGGUUAAUAAGGAUCUGGCGUUGCCGUGAGCUGUGGUGUAGACCCGCAGCUGUAGCUCUGAUUCGACCCCUAGCCGGGAACCUCCACAUGUGUGUGUGCAGCCCU